GCUCCAAUAGCGUAUAUUAAAGUUGUUGCAGUUAAAAAGCUCGUAGUUGAAUUUCGGGGUUAGUAGGUUGGUCAUGCCUCUGGUAUGUACUGGUCUCACUGAUUCCUCCUUCCUGAUGAACUUUAAUGCCAUUAAUUUGGUGUUUUGGGGAAUUUGGACUGUUACUUUGAAAAAAUUAGAGUGUUUAAAGCAAGCUAACGCUUGAAUACAUUAGCAUGGAAUAAUGAAAUAGGACGUUCGAUCCUAUUUUGUUGGUUUCUAGGAUUGACGUAAUGAUUAAUAGGGAUAGUUGGGGGCAUUAGUAUUCAAUUGUCAGAGGUGAAAUUCUUGGAUUUAUUGAAGACUAACUACUGCGAAAGCAUUUGCCAAGGAUGUUUUCAUUAAUCAAGAACGAAAGUUAGGGGAUCGAAGACGAUCAGAUACCGUCGUAGUCUUAACCAUAAACUAUGCCGACUAGGGAUCGGAUGAUGUUAAGUUUUUAAUGACUCAUUC
rnacentral:rRNA from 1 species